GGGGUUAUAGCUAAGUGGUAAAGCACUUGCCUAGCAUGUGUGAGGCACUGGGUUCAAUUCUCAGUACCA
rnacentral:tRNA from 1 species